rnacentral:sRNA from 1 species
GUCAGGUGUGGUGGUGCACACCUGUAAUCCCAGUGACAUGGAGACUGAGACAGGUCAAUCAAGUUCAAGGCCAACUUAGGCAAUUUAGCAAGAACCUACCUCAA